GAUGAACGCUGGCGGCGUGCCUAAUACAUGCAAGUCGAGCGAACAGACGAGGAGCUUGCUCCUCUGACGUUAGCGGCGGACGGGUGAGUAACACGUGGAUAACCUACCUAUAAGACUGGGAUAACUUCGGGAAACCGGAGCUAAUACCGGAUAAUAUUUUGAACCGCAUGGUUCAAAAGUGAAAGACGGUUUUGCUGUCACUUAUAGAUGGAUCCGCGCUGCAUUAGCUAGUUGGUAAGGUAACGGCUUACCAAGGCAACGAUGCGUAGCCGACCUGAGAGGGUGAUCGGCAACACUGGAACUGAGACACGGCCCAGACCCCUAGGGGAGGAAGCAGUGGGGAAUCUUGGGCAAUGGGCGAAAGCCGGCCGGAGCAAGCCCGCGUGGGGGAUGAAGGUUUUCGGAUCGUAAAACUCGUUUAUUGGGGAAGAACAGAUGGGUAAUGAACUGUGCACAUCUUGACGGUACCUAAUCAGAAAGCCACGGCUAACUACGUG
rnacentral:rRNA from 1 species